UAACACGAUAAAACAACAGGUUUAAUCAUUUGAAGUACCUUCACGGUCUUAAUAGACGAAGGAGCGGAAGUACCAUACCUCAACUUGUUGUAGUUCUUGAUUUUCAGAAUCAAAAUUACUUAAUUCAUCGUACACAUAGUAGUUGGUUUUUAGGACCCGUAAAUUUUCAUCACAGUUAAAACAUGAUCCUUUUUGAUGUUUCAAUUGCACUUCAUCAUACGUGUGCCCAGUCGUACCCUUUGGACGACUGUCGAUUUGGACAAAAGAGAAGAGAUAAAAAAAAAUAUAAAAAAAAAACACCAGUAUUAUUUCUACCGUGAUGCCAAGGGGUUAGUACCUUUUGGAUGACUGGAUCGUGUUUUGUCUAGUUAGACCAACAUCUUUUCAUAGAUUUUUUUGUUGUGCCUUUAUGAGCACGUAAAUAAGCUCUCAAAAUAUCUAUCCUUGUAGAGUGACCUCCUUUCAUCCUCUAGCCUCUCUCCCAUCUCCAUCACACACUGCCUUGCUGCCUUGCCUGUAUAGGGAUUGUUCCAUCUCAACUUUGCUAAUUGGUCAAGAUGCUAAACUUGGAGUUCUUUCCCACACAAAUGCUAGCUUAGUUCAUCUGGUUCAUGCCAGGAAGGAAGGAGGUCAUCACUUGCAUGUGAAAUUUGUGCCUUAUGAGCAUCAUGAAGAUUGUUACCACUUCAAGAAGAUAAGAGGAAUAAGUUCGCUUGAAGAUUAAUGAAAAGUUGCACAUGGUUAGGUUAUUCCGAUUUGAUAACUUGUGAAAGUGUGUUCUUCUUGUAAGGGUGCUUUUUUGCCUUCAUUUGUGGCUAAAGCUUACUGGCAUGUACUUGAAUUUUUUACGAGACUUGAAUAUUGUUUGCGGGGUAUGCAUGGCGCGCAGCAGGGUUAGCGUUCUUGUGUCCGCAGUUUGGACUUGCUUCUCCAGUGAGAUGUAGGCAAAUUGGUGGAUAUUUUGCCUUACUGACAGCAUGGAUCAACGAGCAUUUUCAUAAUGUUAUUACUCUCCAUAUAAAUGUAAGGGUCAAACAUGUGUGCAUCGCUUGACCACGCGAAAAGGAUGCAGGGUUCUCACUUGAGCAAAAGACUUUGCGACUCACGAAUCAAUCUUAGCAAAAGAACAAUACUCAUUUUGUGGCAUCAAACCCGUGAAAUGGGGAGCCAAGCUACUAGGCAUGUUGAUGUUCUAAUAUGACAAACGUCAUGUAUUCGUUUGAUGAAUGACAUACAAGGUUGUCUAGGA